rnacentral:misc_RNA from 1 species
AACCUUAUGGACCUGCGGGCGUAUACCUGCGGAAGGAUCAUUAACCUUUCAAAUCAGGGUGCGGCGCGGCCCCCGAGGAGCGGAAACAAUCCUUGGGAGGUAUGCGGGGGCUUCGAGCCCCCCAUUUACGCACGCACGACUGCCAUCCUUACUUUACGAGCACCUUCUGUUCUCCCUCGGCGGGGCAACCUGCCGUUGGAACCGAAUAAACUCUUUUUGCAUCUAGCAUUACCCGUUCCG